UCGAAACCUCUGCAAAAGCAGAACGACCCGUGAACUCGUGAUAACCCUUUCGGGGGGCGUGCUUUUGGGCCGCUCCCCUACGUCUUUGUGGGUGCGGGACUUGUCCCGUUCCCCGUGAGGGCGAACAAUAAACCCCCGGCGCGGAUUGUGCCAAGGAAAUAUAACGAGAGAGCAUGCUCUUGGGGCCCCUGACACGGUGUGCUCUGGGAUAUAAUGCCUUCUUUCACACUAUCUAUAACGACUCUCGGCAACGGAUAUCUCGGCUCUCGCAUCGAUGAAGAACGUAGCGAAAUGCGAUACUUGGUGUGAAUUGCAGAAUCCCGUGAACCAUCGAGUCUUUGAACGCAAGUUGCGCCCCAAGCCUUUAGGCCGAGGGCACGUCUGCUUGGGUGUCACUCAUCAUUGCCCCACCCCACCCCUGCCUCGGAGGCCUGGUGGUGCGGGCUGAUAAUGGCCUCCCGUGCGCUUCCAGCUCGCGGUUGGCCUAAAUUCGAGUCCUCGGCGACCAAAGCCGCGAUGAUCGGUGGUGCAAACAAACCUCUCGAGCACACGUCGCGUGCCAGGCUCUCCAUUACGGGACUGAAGGACCAUUUUGCUCCGUGCAAGCGGUGCUCACAUC
rnacentral:rRNA from 1 species